AUGACGUCAAGUCCGCAUGCUCCUUACGUCUAGGGCUACACACGUCCUACAAUGGGGUCGACAAUGGGAUGCAAUAUCGCAAGAUGGAGCCAAUCCCCAAACGGCCUCUCAGUUCGGAUUGUAGUCUGCAACUCGACUACAUGAAGUCGGAAUCGCUAGUAAUGGCGGAUCAGCAUGCCGCCGUGAAUACGUUCCCGGGUCUU
rnacentral:rRNA from 1 species